rnacentral:tRNA from 2 species
GCCCGGGUGACGCAAUUGGCAGACGUACCAGGUCGAGAGUCUGGUUGUUGUGGGUUCGAGUCCCACCCCGGGCACCA